ACAUUUCUCUCUUUUCUUUCUCUUUCUUCUUCUUCUUCCCUGUCUCCUGUUGCUGGCGAGUUUUGAGAGAUUUGAGAGACCAAAACAGAAGAUUUGUGAUCAGUAGAUGGUAUAGAACAUCACGGGGUAGUUGACGACGAUGGUAUGUGUAUCUCUAGUUGAUUCAGAUUCGUGAGAAUAGGGGAAUUAGAGAAAGAGGAACUAGGGUUUUUGAAAGAUGAAGAUUGAUUGAGAAAUUUGGUGGAUUUGGGUAAUAAGUCAGUUAAUUGGAGAUGGGUUUGUUCUUAGUUGAUGUUUGAUUGAAGUUGUAGAGUUAUUGAGGAUUGAAUCAGUUAAUUAGGGUUUCAUCUUGAUUAUGAGUUUGAAUGGAAAUAAAAGGUAUAUUAAGUUAUGAAGAGAUAAAUAGCGAAAGGGUUAUGGUUUAACUGAGAUUCAAGAGUUGUUUUGGGUAGUGAGUCGAUGGAUUAAGGUUCGAUUAUGUGUUCUGAAGACAGUUGGGGAUUGGUUGUGAUAAACUGAGUUGAAGAGGUUUGGGGAUUAUUUUUAGAGUCUUUCUGUGGAUGAAUAAGAACGAUGAGGACUGUUGAGGGUUGAUUAAAUAGAAUUAGUGGGGUGGUGUUAGUUUUGAGAAGAUUGGUUGGGUGAUGAAUAAGAAGAAUUAAGAACUGGGUUUGAUUAAUUGAGGAAAGGGUUGGAGUUAAUUAAAUAUUGUAGAGCUAUUCUGAGGAAGAAUUGAAGAAUUAGGGUUUAUGUGUUCUUCCCCAAAAUUAAUUAGGGUUUCAGCGGAAUUGGUUUGGUGAACUAGCAAUUCAAAGGAAGCUAAUGAAUGGGUAAGUUUCUAUGUUGUUUAAGUUCCGUAUUUAGUGUUAACUUGUGUAUAAUCUGAUGUAGUUGAAGAAUGGGAUGAGUUUAAGGAAGAUGUAAUACUGUUGUUAUUUUUGGAUGAGUGGGUAAUUCCAAGAGAUGGGAUUGGGUAACUAUGGUUGUAGUUAAUUAGUCUUUAUUAGAGAUGAUAUAAGUAUUUCUUGUGAAAAUAUACUGGUGGUGGUAAUGGAGUUGGUUAAGCUGUAUUGGGUUGUACUGAACUGAGUAAGGGAAUUAUGUUGUAGUCUGAGAAGGUAGUGGUAAUGAAAUAGAUAAUGAAGCUAUAGUUGUGAAUAUCAGGAAGGAAAGAUGGAAUUGUAGGAUAGUGAUGAAGCUGUAGUUUAUGAGAUUGGUGUAGUUUAGAUGAGAUGAUGACAGUGAAGUGGUAAGAAUAUAAUGAAUUGGUGGUGAAUGAAUAUGAAGAAGUUAUAAGCUGAGUUCCAGGAAUGUAAUGUGAGGUUAAGUUAUGAUGUGUGGGUUUGUGUUUUGAUUUGUAAUUAAGGAUGUUAUGUCUGGAAUGGGAGUUAUAAACUGAAAGAGAAGUAAAUUGUGAUGGUGAACUGUGGAUGUUGGAUUAAGUUACAGAAGGUGUUAUUGCUGGAAUGAAGAUUAACGAUGGUGAUUGUAGGAUUAUAGAGGGUGACUCAGUGUUGGCUUGCAACUACUGCACUUUUAGUUGAAGUAAGUGGCGUUGUAAUACUGAGAAUGGUGAUUGCAGAGUUGUAAAUAGUGAUUGAUGUGAAAGCUUGGAACUGCUGAACUGCUGCAGGUAGGCUAUAGUUGUGUUUGUAAUUGAAUUGUUGAAUUCUAUUUGAAUGAAUUGAUGUAUGUAUAGAUUGAAGUUGAACUCGAGUUAGAGUUAUAAAGUUAGAAUUACAGUUGUGUAA